rnacentral:lncRNA from 1 species
AGGAAGGCCCUCCCGUCGCUCGGUGGGGGCGCCGCCGCGCGCGCGCCACCGGCCCGGCCCCCUCCCUCCCGUCGCUCGGUGGGGCGCCGCCGACCACUACCCUACCGUCGCACUGUGGGCCACCGCCGGCUGCCCUCCCGUCGCGCGGCUACCGACCAUAGCCCUCUGUCGCGGGCGCCGCUGUCCACCGUCCUCCCGUCGUGUGGCCAAAUCCACCACCCUCUAUCGCUGCGCCACCCAGCACCGCCCUAUUGGUAGGAAUUUUCAUUUCUUCUUCUUGCUUAUGUAAAGUAGCAAUUUUCAUUUCUUCUUCUUGCUUAUGUAAAGUAGCAGUUGAUGAGUGAUUGAUUUCUUGUUUAUAGGAGUGGGUUGUUCAUUGGUGUCGGUAAGAGAAACAGUUGAAGCCACCAUCUCUGCAGCACAUCUAUUGGGCAUGGCAGAUUCAAGGCUUAGCACGGUUCCUUCAUGGCUCCCCGUUGGGUUAGUGACCUAACUUGCUCUCAUUCAUAAGUUUGCUGUAGUUGUAUGUGUGGGGAUCAUUUUGGUUGAUGCAUAGAUUGAUAGACAGCUACUGUGUUCAUCCACAGGAUGGACCCCUUAACUACAUAUCUUUUGGAAAUCAAACUAGCCGGGGAUCAAAAAAAUGCUAGGGUGAAAUAUGAUUGGUUUAUUUUCAAUAAGAUGAUAGACUCAAAUGCUAUGUGCUACAAAGACUUUGUUGAUGAUAUUGCAAAGUCAUAUCCAUGGGGGCCAAAUGAAACCGUCACAAUUGGCUAUGUGGAUAUGGUUCAUAAAAUUUCUCAUCAUGUCACAACUGACCAGGAUAUGCUAGAAAUGUUUGAAAAGUUUGUUGAUAUCAAGGUGAUUCCAAUGAUUAUUCGUAUACAUGGUAUGAAUGAAAAUAUUGAUGAGUUAGACCACACUCUUGUUAAAGCAAACAUAUGUGUUCCCGAUACUCCUUCUCUGGCAACCCCAUCUCAAGUGGAUUUCAGCCAACCUAGCAGCAGCACUCUGCCUUCUCAUGUCCUCAUGCCAUCAGACACAUACUUAAUAAACCCAUUUCCUAUGGCUGAGCAUGUUGGUGUGGAUGAUUGACGGAGCUCGUGGCUCCUCACCGGGAGACCGCGCAGGCCCCCCUUUGCCGGUUCGGCCGGGGGCUUAGGGUGCGAUCUCAAGCUCUCUCUGUAUGUGGAAAGAUUACUCGCCGGCAAGACACACGAGACACGGCGAUGUAUACAGGUUCGGGCCGCUGCGAGGCGUAAUACCCUACUCCUGUGUUUUUGUGGAUUUGUGUAUGGACAAGUUACAAAGGAUCAACUUCCUUUCCCCUCAGCCUUCCAAAAGGGAAAAGUCCCCCCUCUAAAUGGGCAAGGUCCUCCUUUUAUAUCUCAAGGGGAUACCACAUGCACCUUUCUCUUUCCAAACUGGACUGUUCUUUUUCUCUUUAAUGGGCGGAGAUCGGUACGGUUUCCAUCCGGGAGCCCUUCUGAUGGGACAGCCCACACCUACCCCCACCUCCCCCGAAGACAGAGAUGACGCGGGACCGUGGCUGUCUGUCGAUGACGCGAUCAGUGCCAGACCGGUCAUUCUUGUCCACCACGCGUCAGCUUAACAACGUGCAUGUUUGCCCUUCUUCGUGUAACACCUUGCCUGUAAUGGUUAGGAUGAAGCCUGGUAUAAAUCUGACCAGGGCUAACGUGCCAUCUCUAAGAGAUAACACGCUAGCUCCGGCUUGAGACGAGUUGCCUUGAGGCUUUCGUCUUGACGGGAUGGGGCGAGGCGUGCGUCAGACCGCCAGUCGCCACCUAACCCUUGAUCUGACCGGUCUGUGACUGGUCACAGACCGGAUAAAAGAGCGUGCUGUACUGCGUUGCACGCAGCGUGACACGCUUGACCAGACUGCAAUAAAUGCUGUUAGGUGAGCACAGCUGUGCUCACUUAUCCCAUAUAUGUGGCGCAGACUUCUUUAAGGGGUCGGGGUGCCCCGGCCCUCGGGGCCGGGGCAAGCGCAACCCGACCCCCCCUCGGGGGAAAUCACGAGGAGGGCGGACACCUCACCCUCGGGCCCGACGUCCCCGAAGGUGCCAGGCCACGUGGGCGAUUGCGUCUGCCUCAAGCCUCUGGUCAUGAUACUCCCGGUCCCAUAUCACCGACAGUAGCCCCCGGCGUUAUGCCAGAGCAAUUUCCCUUCCCAAGGGAAGCGGUCAGGUGUGACGCCACCCCUAAAGCCUGGUGACAGGUGGGACCGGUCUCCGUAGUUGGGCAAAAUACCCAACGGUCUCAAUCCAUGCACAUUGGUAAUGGUGACUUGGCUGUCCAUAAUGGGCGGUCUCUUCAAGACUGCCACAUUACCUGAGCAGCGCACGAAUCUGGGCGAGCCGAUUUGCUUCGCCUGGAGAUAUGGUGAUGGUGCUUUUCUCGGAGCCAUCAGAAUAGCGUAUAGCAUCUUCUGGGCCCGAGGGUAUCGGGUUUUGGCGUCCCGGAGGGCCUCACUAACAAAGUAGAUGGGCCGCUGCACCUUUCGGCGGGGCCGAUCCUCUUCGCUAGGGGCCGCAUCUCCAGGGCGCUCUUCAUCCGAGAGGCAGCGCGGGGCGCCCUCGGCUUCUGCGCCGAUAUCCUCGGGGUAAGAGGGCGACAGGCGCGGCCUUCCCGCAGUGGCCCCGAGGCUAUCCUGAGGGUCGGGGGCGCCUGACACCGUCGGACAAGCAGGCGGAGGGCCGACUCCGGCCGUCGGGGGCCUUGGGCCGCCGUUCGGCUUGGGGGCCUCUCGGACCCUGACUUCUCCCCGUGGGUAGCGCUGGAAGAGUUCCCUUCCGGAACCGAGGACGGCGCACGCGCGCAGGUCCGGGACGCCGCCGACCACAUCGUCCACAGCUUCGAGGGUACGGCCCCUCGGCUCGCGUUCGCCCUCGACUCCGACGAGGAGGGCGGCGACGGUGGUGCGGACGAUAACGACGACAAGGCUGGUGACCCGGGCGCGUCGGAGUGAGCCCCCAGGCCCCCGCCAAUCUUGAAUAGCUUUUUCUUUCUUCUUCCGAGGCCUUCGGGCCCCCUUCUUGUAUAGACUAAUUUAAUCUGCAACCAAAUAAAGAGGAAAUUUCUAUGUCAGUUCUAUUUGUUGUGUGUAUGAGACGAGGAUGGUCUGUGCCGCGGUCCUUCUGUGUCUUGGCUUGAUCAAGGGCUCGUGCCCAAGUCCUAGUCCUCAAAUGGCUCGGGUCGGGGCUAGUGCCUGGGGAGAUCCACAUGUCGAGACUGGCCAGGCCGGGAACGUGGUGACCGAGGGUUAUGGGUGACCCGAUUGUGGGUUUUUGCCGAUUCCCCCCCGGAGUUCACCACGCCCCGGGGCACGGCUCGGUUCUGGGCCCCGUUUGGCGAUUUUAGCUGACCGAACCGAGCCCCCGAGGGCAAGGUUGAGCACGAGUGACCUAUUUCAAGUCAAGAUUCUUCAAAAAGGAAACAAAAGCACAGACACAACCUUUAAGAAAUCGAAAAUGCUUUUGUUGAAAUACGGAAGAGAAAAAAGAUAAGCCCCCGGCCAACCCUGCACGCCCGGGGGGGUGCGGGGUUGGCCCGAGCCCGAAACCUGACACCCGACCCCCACUAGGGGUAGAAGCGACGAAGGUGUUUGAUGUUCCACGGGUUAGGCAGCUCUGUGCCGUCGCCCGUGGCCAGCCGAACGGAGCCCGGCCGGGGGACGCCGAUCACUCGAUACGGACCCUCCCACAUUGGUGAGAGUUUGCUCAGUCCAGCACGCGUUUGGACGCGGCGUAGGACGAGGUCGUCGACGCAGAGUGAUCGGGCCCGGACGUGGCGCUGAUGGUAGCGCCGCAGGCUCUGCUGGUAGCGCGCGGCUCGGAGGGCCGCGCGCCGCCUUCGCUCUUCCAAGUAGUCGAGGUCAAGGAGCGCCGGCCUUCUUUCUGUCGCUCGCAGACCUCCCCUUUCGGGUGGCCAGCGAAACGCCCUCGACGGCGAGGACAUGACCCUCGUCGUCGGAAUGGGCCAACCUCUUCUUCCUCCUCCUGUCCCGCCGCCCUGUCUGAGCAGCGGAUCCGGGGGCGGCCGAAGCUGCCACUCCGGGACCGGAGGGGUUCCAGGUCCAUGCCUCCUCCUUACGAGCCACUCGAUCCGCAAGCUGAAAAAGCUCCGCGGUAGUCUGGGGCUCUUUGGAGGCAAUCUUUUCGAGCAUGCGGUUGUGCCGCACACCCCCCCUGAACGCGUAAAUCACCGCGUGUGCAGGGAUGCAUGGUAUGGUGUUGCGGACUUGACAGAACCGCUGAAUAUACGAGCGAAGUGACUCAUCAUCCCUUCGUUGUACCGCGUGUAAGUCCGCUUCUUCACCUGGGCGCGGAUAUGUGCCUUGAAAGUUCAUGGUGAACUGUUGGCACAAAUCCUCCCAGGAGUGGACCGACGCGGGUGGCAAGUUCAUUAGCCAACCCCGCGCCUGUCCCUUCAGGGCCAUGGGAAAGAAAUUCGCCAUGACCCUGUCGUCUCCCCCAGCGGCCUCGAUCCCGGUCGUAUAGACCUGGAGAAACUCGGUGGGGUUGACGCUCCCAUCAUACUUCUCGGUGAUGGUGGGCCGGAACCUUGGGGGCCAACGGACAUUCCGAAGACUCGCCACAAAGGCUCUACAGCCGACACCACCAGCCGGGGGCACGGAGGGCUGAUCCUCACGUCCAUGUCGAGGUGACACUCUGGACGAGGAGGCGCCCUCCGUUGCACGGGGAGUACGCCGGCUAUUACGCUCGAUGUUGAGGCGGGCAUCCGGCUCCCCAUGCUGAUCCUCCCGAGUCGACGGUGUCGACGAGGGAGUGGCAGCCGAAUGACGUGCAGCCGCCGCCGCUCGCCGCGCCCUCCGCCUUGAUGACACGGAGCCGGUGGUAGCGGCGCCGGAGGUCUUGGUGGUGACGGACCGUCCACCAGCACCCAGGCGUUGCUGCGCCGUCAUGACCAAGUUGGCCACGUCGUCCAGCCAUCGCUGGGCUGGAGACUCCGGGUCAGGGACGACAGGCGGGUGUCGUAGGAGCGCGCCAGCAGCCUGAAGCGCGCCCUGAGGCGUGCUGCCGUCGCCGUAGACGAGGAGGCGACGCUCCCCAUCUCGCCGUUCUCCUGCACCACCCGCGACUGGUGAUGCUGCGGAUUUCUCGACUCUCUCGAGCGCCUCCCCCUGCUUGGGACUUUGGCGUGGAGGAGGUGGGGGAGUGCGAGCUCGACGGCGCGGGUUUGGCUCCCCGUCAUCGCCGCUCACACUCGGAGAGAGAUUGUGCGCCUUUGCUUGCUCGGCCAUUAGGCUGAACAAGGGAAACUUGGCGCACACGGAAGAGUAUGAGAGCUCAGAAAACACACGCUGAGCCCCCUACCUGGCGCGCCAGAUGACGGAGCUCGUGGCUCCUCACCGGGAGACCGCGCAGGCCCCCCUUUGCCGGUUCGGCCGGGGGCUUAGGGUGCGAUCUCAAGCUCUCUCUGUAUGUGGAAAGAUUACUCGCCGGCAAGACACACGAGACACGGCGAUGUAUACAGGUUCGGGCCGCUGCGAGGCGUAAUACCCUACUCCUGUGUUUUUGUGGAUUUGUGUAUGGACAAGUUACAAAGGAUCAACUUCCUUUCCCCUCAGCCUUCCAAAAGGGAAAAGUCCCCCCUCUAAAUGGGCAAGGUCCUCCUUUUAUAUCUCAAGGAGAUACCACAUGCACCUUUCUCUUUCCAAACUGGACUGUUCUUUUUCUCUUUAAUGGGCGGAGAUCGGUACGGUUUCCAUCCGGGAGCCCUUCUGAUGGGACAGCCCACACCUACCCCCACCUCCCCCGAAGACAGAGAUGACGCGGGACCGUGGCUGUCUGUCGAUGACGCGAUCAGUGCCAGACCGGUCAUUCUUGUCCACCACGCGUCAGCUUAACAACGUGCAUGUUUGCCCUUCUUCGUGUAACACCUUGCCUGUAAUGGUUAGGAUGAAGCCUGGUAUAAAUCUGACCAGGGCUAACGUGCCAUCUCUAAGAGAUAACACGCUAGCUCCGGCUUGAGACGAGUUGCCUUGAGGCUUUCGUCUUGACGGGAUGGGGCGAGGCGUGCGUCAGACCGCCAGUCGCCACCUAACCCUUGAUCUGACCGGUCUGUGACUGGUCACAGACCGGAUAAAAGAGCGUGCUGUACUGCGUUGCACGCAGCGUGACACGCUUGACCAGACUGCAAUAAAUGCUGUUAGGUGAGCACAGCUGUGCUCACUUAUCCCAUAUAUGUGGCGCAGACUUCUUUAAGGGGUCGGGGUGCCCCGGCCCUCGGGGCCGGGGCAAGCGCAACCCGACCCCCCCUCGGGGGAAAUCACGAGGAGGGCGGACACCUCACCCUCGGGCCCGACGUCCCCGAAGGUGCCAGGCCACGUGGGCGAUUGCGUCUGCCUCAAGCCUCUGGUCAUGAUACUCCCGGUCCCAUAUCACCGACAAUGAUGAAUGCAUAUACUUAGAUAAUGAGGAGGCUGUUGCUGGUCAAGCUGAUGAAACUAGAGGUGAAGGGGCUGCCAAUGAAGAAUCCGAGGAUGAAUCUUGGGCUACAUCUGAGGAUACAUCUGAGGAUGCAUCUGAGGGUGAUGGUGUUGAUGAAUCUGAGGAUGAGUCAAUGGCAUUGGAUGGGAUGCCAGAAAAUAUUCCUAGC